rnacentral:rRNA from 1 species
ACCCGCUGAACUUAAGCAUAUCAAUAAGCGGAGGAAAAGAAACCAACAGGGAUUGCCUCAGUAACUGCGAGUGAAGCGGCAAAAGCUCAAAUUUGAAAUCUGGCCCGUCUCUGGCGGCCCGAGUUGUAAUUUGGAGGGGCAUUUUCGGAGCGGGCGCCGUCCUAAGUUCCUUGGAACAGGACGUCACAGAGGGUGAGAAUCCCGUGCCUGGGCGGCUGCCCCGCUCCAUGUGAGGUGUCUCCGACGAGUCGAGUUGUUUGGGAAUGCAGCUCAAAAUGGGUGGUAAAUUUCAUCUAAAGCUAAAUAUUGGCGAGAGACCGAUAGCGCACAAGUAGAGUGAUCGAAAGAUGAAAAGCACUUUGAAAAGAGAGUUAAAAAGUACGUGAAAUUGUUGAAAGGGAAGCGCUUGAGACCAGACUCGGCCGCUGACGAUCAACGGUGCUUCUGUGCCGUGCACUCGACAGCGGCCGGGCCAGCAUCGGUUCCGGCGGCGGGAAAAAGGUUCGGGCAAUGUGGCUCCCCUCGGGGAGUGUUAUAGGCCCGGGCGUCAUGCCGCCAGCCGGGACCGAGGACCGCGCUUCGGCUAGGAUGCUGGCGUAAUGGUCUU